AUGAAGGUGCUGGGGCAGGAGCUGAGUUUUGUAAACUGUGGGGCCACAGGGAGUCAAGUGAAGCACCAGUCCCUGAGCCUGGCAGAGCUCGCCAUCAAGCUCCUGAAGGGGCAAGAGGUCCAGAUUAACCGGAGGCUGAGCCUGGCCGCAGAGGAGCUGGUCUUUCCCACAGUGUCUGGCCUCCCUGCUCUGCUGACCCUAAACGCCUCGGCCGCUAUCAGCAUCCGGGUCCGAGGAGUCGCCGACUUCCAGCAGCGCUCGGAUUUCUCUGUGAAUGGUUAUGUCAAGCCCAGUGCCCUGCUCCAGAUCUCGGCUCAGAUGGGCACAACGGGAGCCUUGGGGCAGGCUGGGCUGCGGUGGGUGACCAGCGUCCGCAGCACCGCCAGCCUGGCUGGAGGGAUCCAGCUGCAGAAGGGCCAGGACCUCAAGGUGCAUCUGAACACGCCCGAGGAGGCUGUGGAGCUGCUCAGCUUCAGGUGGUGCCCUGUGCCAGCAAGCAGGGAACCAUGAGCACGAGAGUGCAUGUGAGCGUGUGUGCAUGUGAGUGUGUGAUCACAUGUCUGUGCGCAUGGAAGUGUGCAUGGUGUGGAUGUGACAUUAGCACGCAUGUGUGUUACAGCGUGUGCCCAUGAGCCUGUAUCUGUGAGCACACGUGAUCAGGCAUAUGAGAGAGUAUGAGCUGCUGUGUGCAUGAGGGUGUGUCUGUGUGUCGGUGAGUGUGUCAGUGAGCAGCAUUGUGGAAGUGGAGGUGUCUCGUGUCUGAGCAUUUGUGGGAGUGCGUGUGCGUCCAUGAGUGUGCAUGUCUGUGACUGUAAAGGCUGGAUGUGUCUAUGACAGGGAAUGUGGGCAGCCGAGGGGUGAGAGCUGGAGAACUUUCAGACUCUCAGCUCUUUCCUGGGGUCCCUUUAGGGCAUGCUUGUCUGUGACACCUGGGGAGGUGACUCUUAGAGAGGGACAAUUUCAGAGGGAGUGAGAGUGAGUCCAGGCUGACUCCUACCUGCAUCCUUUGCCUUGCCCUGCCCACCUUCCUUAUCCUUCCUCCCUCCUUCCCCCGUCCCUGCCCCUCUCUCACUGUCCGCCUCUAUCCUGAUACCCCCCAACCCAGCUGCCUUCCCAUACUCCUAAAGCAGCCACCUCGUUCCUAUCCCAGGGCCUUUGCUCCUGCUAUGUCCUCUGUCUGGAACAGUGGCUCUUUCUCAUCCUCUGGGCCUCUGCUCAAAUGUCGCCUCUGCAGAGAACUCCCCCUGCUGCAGCUAGGGAGCGCCCACUCUGUCCCUGAGAUAGCCUGUGCUGUGCUAUUCUCCGUGUGGGCUUCUCACAGCACUUGUCACCGUCUGUGGUCCUGAGCCUCUGUCCCUGUGCCCAUGGAGUAUCACCCACCAGCGUGUGCACUGCCUGAAGGCUGGUCCCCUUCAGGGUAGAAUUUGCCCCUGUGCCAAACUCUGGCAGCUUGAGGUGUUACUUGUCUAAUGAAUGAAUUAAAAUGACGCAUCUGAUGCUGUCAUCUUUU
rnacentral:lncRNA from 13 species